rnacentral:rRNA from 1 species
CAGUCGCCGCGGUAAUACGGAGGGUGCAAGCGUUAAUCGGAAUUACUGGGCGCAAAGCGCACGCAGGCGGUCUGACAAGUCAGAUGUGAAAUCCCCGGGCUUAACCUGGGAACUGCAUUUGAAACUGUCAGGCUGGAGUCUUGUAGAGGGGGGUGGAAUUCCAGGUGUAGCGGUGAAAUGCGUAGAGAUCUGGAGGAAUACCGGUGGCGAAGGCGGCCCCCUGGACAAAGACUGACGCUCAGGUGCGAAAGCGUGGGGAGCAAACAGGAUUAGAUACCCCGGUAGUCCCUGUCUCUUAUAC